UUAAGUGACUAAGCGUACAAGGUGGAUGCCUUGGCAAUCAGAGGCGACGAAGGACGUGCUAAUCUGCGAAAAGCUUGGAUGAGUCGAUAAGAGGCGUUUAAUCCAAGAUGUCCGAAUGGGGAAACCCAGUAGAUGAAGAAUCUACUAUCACUUACUGAAUCCAUAGGUAAGUGAGGCAAACCGGGAGAACUGAAACAUCUAAGUACCCCGAGGAAAAGAAAUCAACCGAGAUUUCGUUAGUAGCGGCGAGCGAACGCGAAGGAGCCUGUUAGUGAUAAUGACAGAGACAGAGGAACAAGCUGGGAAGCUUGGCGAUACAGGGUGAUAGCCCCGUACUCGAAGUCCAGGUCAUGGUACUAAGCUAACGAUAAGUAGGGCGGGACACGUGAUAUCCUGUUUGAAGAUGGGGGGACCAUCCUCCAAGGCUAAAUACUCCUGAUUGACCGAUAGUGAACCAGUACUGUGAAGGAAAGGCGAAAAGAACCCCGGUGAGGGGAGUGAAAUAGAACCUGAAACCUUGUACGUACAAGCAGUGGGAGCCCUUUAAGGGUGACUGCGUACCUUUUGUAUAAUGGGUCAGCGACUUAUAUUUUGUAGCGAGGUUAACCGAAUAGGGGAGCCGAAGGGAAACCGAGUCUUAACUGGGCGUCUAGUUGCAAGGUAUAGACCCGAAACCCGGUGAUCUAGCCAUGGGCAGGUUGAAGGUUGGGUAACACUAACUGGAGGACCGAACCGACUAAUGUUGAAAAAUUAGCGGAUGACUUGUGGCUGGGGGUGAAAGGCCAAUCAAACCGGGAGAUAGCUGGUUCUCCCCGAAAGCUAUUUAGGUAGCGCCUCGUGAAUUCAUCUCCGGGGGUAGAGCACUGUUUCGGCAAGGGGGUCAUCCCGACUUACCAACCCGAUGCAAACUGCGAAUACCGGAGAAUGUUAUCACGGGAGACACACGGCGGGUGCUAACGUCCGUCGUGAAGAGGGAAACAACCCAGACCGCCAGCUAAGGUCCCAAAGUCAUGGUUAAGUGGGAAACGAUGUGGGAAGGCCCAGACAGCCAGGAUGUUGGCUUAGAAGCAGCCAUCAUUUAAAGAAAGCGUAAUAGCUCACUGGUCGAGUCGGCCUGCGCGGAAGAUGUAACGGGGCUAAACCAUGCACCGAAGCUGCGGCAGCGACGCUUAUGCGUUGUUGGGUAGGGGAGCGUUCUGUAAGCCUGCGAAGGUGUGCUGUGAGGCAUGCUGGAGGUAUCAGAAGUGCGAAUGCUGACAUAAGUAACGAUAAAGCGGGUGAAAAGCCCGCUCGCCGGAAGACCAAGGGUUCCUGUCCAACGUUAAUCGGGGCAGGGUGAGUCGACCCCUAAGGCGAGGCCGAAAGGCGUAGUCGAUGGGAAACAGGUUAAUAUUCCUGUACUUGGUGUUACUGCGAAGGGGGGACGGAGAAGGCUAUGUUGGCCGGGCGACGGUUGUCCCGGUUUAAGCGUGUAGGCUGGUUUUCCAGGCAAAUCCGGAAAAUCAAGGCUGAGGCGUGAUGACGAGGCACUACGGUGCUGAAGCAACAAAUGCCCUGCUUCCAGGAAAAGCCUCUAAGCAUCAGGUAACAUCAAAUCGUACCCCAAACCGACACAGGUGGUCAGGUAGAGAAUACCAAGGCGCUUGAGAGAACUCGGGUGAAGGAACUAGGCAAAAUGGUGCCGUAACUUCGGGAGAAGGCACGCUGAUAUGUAGGUGAAGUCCCUCGCGGAUGGAGCUGAAAUCAGUCGAAGAUACCAGCUGGCUGCAACUGUUUAUUAAAAACACAGCACUGUGCAAACACGAAAGUGGACGUAUACGGUGUGACGCCUGCCCGGUGCCGGAAGGUUAAUUGAUGGGGUCAGCGCAAGCGAAGCUCUUGAUCGAAGCCCCGGUAAACGGCGGCCGUAACUAUAACGGUCCUAAGGUAGCGAAAUUCCUUGUCGGGU
rnacentral:rRNA from 1 species